UUUUAGCCCUGAUAGUAGUGGAAAUCCUAACAAAAAAAAACAACUAUGAUAAUAGUUGUUUUUUUUGUUAGAUUGUAACGAAUAGCAGGAACGAAG
rnacentral:sRNA from 26 species